rnacentral:misc_RNA from 1 species
GAAUUCUACCACCAGCAGGAAUAGUGCGAACAAUGCAAGCCAAUAAUGCUCUUUCAUCAAGAAGUGGAGUUUCUGAGGUUUUCCCCACCAUCAUUGGAAUUUUCAGCCCAGAAGAAACAAAAACUUCAGGUACAACCGCCCCAGAUGCAGAAGCAUUGUUGAUAACCAUUUCACUGACAUUUACAUUGUGAACCGAGGAAGAAUCAGAGGUUAAUGUACUGACAGCAGGACUUAAUUUUCCCCCACUUAAACCUUGCUCCUCG